UAUCGUUUAUUUGAUAGUACCUUACUACUUGGAUAACCGUGGUAAUUCUAGAGCUAAUACAUGCUAAAAACCCCGACUUCGGAAGGGGUGUAUUUAUUAGAUAAAAAACCAAUGCCCUUCGGGGCUCCUUGGUGAUUCAUAAUAACUUAACGAAUCGCAUGGCCUUGUGCCGGCGAUGGUUCAUUCAAAUUUCUGCCCUAUCAACUUUCGAUUGUAAGGUAGUUGCUUACAAUGGUUUCAACGGGUAACGGGGAAUUAGGGUUCUAUUCCGGAGAGGGAGCCUGAGAAACGGCUACCACAUCCAAGGAAGGCAGCAGGCGCGCAAAUUACCCAAUCCCGACACGGGGAGGUAGUGACAAUAAAUACUGAUACAGGGCUCUUUUGGGUCUUGUAAUUGGAAUGAGUACAAUUUAAAUCCCUUAACGAGGAACAAUU
rnacentral:rRNA from 1 species